CAUAAUAAUAACUUACACUUUACAGAGAAAUGAGCAUAAAUAUUUAAAUUUAAACCCAAUAAUAAGUUGUUGAGCUUCUACUUAAUAUAAUAUAAUAAUAUACCUAAUAUUAUUGUAUCAUGCAUUCAUGCAUAAUAUGAAUAUGUUUACAAAAAAACUGGAAACUGAAAAGUAAAUCAUACAUUUUCAUGGUAGACUUUAUCGACAUGCCAUGAACAAAAAAUGCGAUGUGGAACUGGGCCCAUUACAGUUUCCCAUGCUGAAUAAAAAGUUUCAACUAUAUCAGUCAUGAACAUUAGUAUACAUGAAACAACAUGGAAACCCUGAACCAAAGUCAUCGAUAACCAUUAAGGUAACUAACUCAAAAUCAUAUCCAUUAAGUCCAUGGGUCCCAUCAAGACAAACUACUUUUCCUUGUCCAAUUUUUUUUAGCAAGUGUCUUUGUCCUGGGUCCAUUAUGAUUAAACAAAAAUCAUUUAUUUCUAACUUUCCAGUAAUAUCAAUAACUCCUGAAAUUCACAUAAUUAUAUUUAUAUGAUUUUAUAUAAUUUUAAAUAUAUGUUGCUUACUUUGAAUUGUUCUUAAUUUUUUAAUUUCAAUUUCAUACUUAUUUUUAAAUAAAAAUUAAAUUACAUAUUAAAAUAAUGUUAUACUUACCUAUUCUAUUUUGUGUACCUA